rnacentral:misc_RNA from 1 species
GAUGAAGAACGUAGCGAAAUGCGAUACGUAAUGUGAAUUGCAGAAUUCAGUGAAUCAUCGAGUCUUUGAACGCACAUUGCGCCCCCUGGUAUUCCGGGGGGCAUGCCUGUCCGAGCGUCAUUACAACCCUCAAGCUCAGCUUGGUGUUGGGCUCCGCCGCCCCGGCGGGCCCUAAAGUCAGUGGCGGUGCCGUCCGGCUCCGAGCGUAGUAAUUCUUCUCGCUCUGGAGGUCCGGUCGUGUGCUCGCCAGCAACCCCCAAUUUUUUUCAGGUUGACCUCGGAUCAGGUAGGGAUACCCGCUGAACUUAAGCAUAUCAAUAAGCGGAGGA